rnacentral:rRNA from 1 species
UACGUAGGGGGCAAGCGUUGUCCGGAAUCAUUGGGCGUAAAGCGCGUGUAGGCGGCUCGAUAAGUCUGCUGUGAAAGUUCAGGGCUCAACCCUGAAAUGCCGGUGGAAACUGUCGAGCUAGAGUCCGGAAGAGGCGAGUGGAAUUCCUGGUGUAGCGGUGAAAUGCGCAGAUAUCAGGAGGAACACCAAUGGCGAAGGCAGCUCGCUGGGACGGUACUGACGCUGAGGAGCGAAAGCGUGGGGAGCAAACAGG